rnacentral:rRNA from 1 species
GACGAACGCUGGCGGCGUGCUUAACACAUGCAAGUCGAACGGACAGGCCCUGCUUUUGUGGGGUGCUCGAGUGGCGAACGGGUGAGUAACACGUGAGUAAACUGCCCUUGACUUAGGGAUAUCAUUAGGGAACUGGGGCUAAUACCGGAUAGGAGAUCCUGCUGCGUGGUGGGGGUUGGAAAGUUUCGGCGGUUGGGGAUGGACUCGCGGCUUAUCAGCUUGGUUGUGGGGUAGUGGCUUACCAAGGCUUUACAGGGUAGCCGGCCUGAGAGGGGGACCGGCCACGUUAGGACUGAGAUACGGCCCAGACCCCUACGGGACGCAGCAGUGGGGAAUAGUGCACAAUGGGCGGAAGCCUGAUGCAGCAACGCCGCGUGCGGGAUGACGGCCUUCGGGUUGGAAACCACUGUCGCCUGUGACGAAGCGUGAGUGACGGUAAUGGGUAAAGAAGCACCGGCUAACUACGUG